UACGAAGGGGGGCUAGCGUUGCUCGGAAUCACUGGGCGUAAAGCGCACGUAGGCGGAUUGCUAAGUCAGGGGUGAAAUCCUGGAGCUCAACUCCAGAACUGCCUUUGAUACUGGCGAUCUCGAGUCCGGGAGAGGUGAGUGGAACUGCGAGUGUAGAGGUGAAAUUCGUAGAUAUUCGCAAGAACACCAGUGGCGAAGGCGGCUCACUGGCCCGGUACUGACGCUGAGGUGCGAAAGCCGUGGGGAGC
rnacentral:rRNA from 1 species